AUUGAACGCUGGCGGCAGGCCUAACACAUGCAAGUCGAACGAGCGGCGGACGGGUGAGUAAUGUCUGGGAACCUGCCUGAUGGAGGGGGAUAACUACUGGCAACGGUAGCUAAUACCGCAUACCAUCAGAUGUGCCCAGAUGGGAUUAGCUUGUGGGUGGGGUAACGGCUCACCUAGGCGACGAUCCCUAGCUGGUCUGAGAGGAUGACCGGCCACACUGGAACUGAGACACGGUCCAGACUCCUACGGGAGGCAGCAGUGGGGAAUAUUGCACAAUGGGCGCAAGCCUGAUGCAGCCAUGCCGCGUGUAUGAAGAAGGCCUUCGGGUUGUAAAGUACUUUCAGCGGGGAGGCGUUACCCGCAGAAGAAGCACCGGCUAACUCCGUGCCAGCAGCCGCGGUAAUUC
rnacentral:rRNA from 1 species